rnacentral:rRNA from 1 species
AGUCGAACGAACUUCCGUUAAUUGAUUAUGACGUACUUGUACUGAUUGAGAUUUUAACACGAAGUGAGUGGCGAACGGGUGAGUAACACGUGGGUAACCUGCCCAGAAGUAGGGGAUAACACCUGGAAACAGAUGCUAAUACCGUAUAACAGAGAAAACCGCAUGGUUUUCUUUUAAAAGAUGGCUCUGCUAUCACUUCUGGAUGGACCCGCGGCGUAUUAGCUAGUUGGUGAGGUAAAGGCUCACCAAGGCAGUGAUACGUAGCCGACCUGAGAGGGUAAUCGGCCACAUUGGGACUGAGACACGGCCCAGACUCCUACGGGAGGCAGCAGUAGGGAAUCUUCCACAAUGGACGCAAGUCUGAUGGAGCAACGCCGCGUGAGUGAAGAAGGGUUUCGGCUCGUAAAGCUCUGUUGUUAAGAAGAACGUGGGUAAGAGUAACUGUUUACCCAGUGACGGUAUUUAACCAGAAAGCCACGGCUAACUACGUGCCAGCAGCCGCGGUAAUACGUAGGUGGCAAGCGUUAUCCGGAUUUAUUGGGCGUAAAGCGAGCGCAGGCGGUCUUUUAAGUCUAAUGUGAAAGCCUUCGGCUCAACCGAAGAAGUGCAUUGGAAACUGGGAGACUUGAGUGCAGAAGAGGACAGUGGAACUCCAUGUGUAGCGGUGAAAUGCGUAGAUAUAUGGAAGAACACCAGUGGCGAAGGCGGCUGUCUGGUCUGCAACUGACGCUGAGGCUCGAAAGCAUGGGUAGCGAACAGGAUUAGAUACCCUGGUAGUCCAUGCCGUAAACGAUGAUUACUAAGUGUUGGAGGGUUUCCGCCCUUCAGUGCUGCAGCUAACGCAUUAAGUAAUCCGCCUGGGGAGUACGACCGCAAGGUUGAAACUCAAAAGAAUUGACGGGGGCCCGCACAAGCGGUGGAGCAUGUGGUUUAAUUCGAAGCUACGCGAAGAACCUUACCAGGUCUUGACAUCUUCUGACAGUCUAAGAGAUUAGAGGUUCCCUUCGGGGACAGAAUGACAGGUGGUGCAUGGUUGUCGUCAGCUCGUGUCGUGAGAUGUUGGGUUAAGUCCCGCAACGAGCGCAACCCUUAUUACUAGUUGCCAGCAUUAAGUUGGGCACUCUAGUGAGACUGCCGGUGACAAACCGGAGGAAGGUGGGGACGACGUCAAAUCAUCAUGCCCCUUAUGACCUGGGCUACACACGUGCUACAAUGGAUGGUACAACGAGUCGCGAGACCGCGAGGUUAAGCUAAUCUCUUAAAACCAUUCUCAGUUCGGACUGUAGGCUGCAACUCGCCUACACGAAGUCGGAAUCGCUAGUAAUCGCGGAUCAGCAUGCCGCGGUGAAUACGUUCCCGGGCCUUGUACACACCGCCCGUCACACCAUGAGAGUUUGUAACACCCAAAGCC